rnacentral:rRNA from 1 species
GACGAACGCUGGCGGCGUGCUUAACACAUGCCAGUCGAACGGAAAGGCCCCUUUGGGGGUACUCGAGUGGCGAACGGGUGAGUAACACGUGAGUAACCUGCCCUUGACUUCGGGAUAACUUCAGGAAACUGGGGCUAAUACCGGAUAGGAAUCCUUGCUGCAUGGUGGGGGUUGGAAAGCUUCGGCGGUUUUGGAUGGACUCGCGGCUUAUCAGCUUGUUGGUGGGGUAGUGGCUUACCAAGGCUUUGACGGGUAGCCGGCCUGGGAGGGCGACCGGCCACAUUGGGACUGAGAUACGGCCCAGACUCCUACGGGAGGCAGCAGUGGGGAAUAUUGCACAAGGGGCGGAAGCCUGAUGCAGCAACGCCGCGUGCGGGAUGACGGCCUUCGGGUUGUAAACCGCUUUCAGCAGGGGCGAAGCUUGUGGUGACGGUACCUGCAGAAGAAGCACCGGCUAACUACGUG